GACGAACGCUGGCGGCGUGCCUAAUACAUGCAAGUUGAGCGAUGAAGAUUGGUGCUUGCUCCAAUUUGAAGAGCAGCGAACGGGUGAGUAACGCGUGGGGAAUCUGCCUUUGAGCGGGGGACAACAUUUGGAAACGAAUGCUAAUACCGCAUAACAACUUUAAACAUAAGUUUUAAGUUUGAAAGAUGCAAUUGCAUCACUCAAAGAUGAUCCCGCGUUGUAUUAGCUAGUUGGUGAGGUAAAGGCUCACCAAGGCGAUGAUACAUAGCCGACCUGAGAGGGUGAUCGGCCACAUUGGGACUGAGACACGCCCCAAACUCCUGCGGGAGGCAGCAGUAGGGAAUCUUCGGCAAUGGACGAAAGUCUGACCGAGCAACGCCGCGUGAGUGAAGAAGGUUUUCGGAUCGUAAAACUCUGUUGGUAGAGAAGAACGUUGGUGAGAGUGGAAAGCUCAUCAAGUGACGGUAACUACCCAGAAAGGGACGGCUAACUACGUG
rnacentral:rRNA from 1 species